AAAGUCUGACAGACAAUCGCUGGCGGCGCGAGCCGCGAGAGGAAAGUCCGGGCUCCACAGGGCAGGAUGCUGGAUAACGUCCAGUCGGCGCGAGCCGAAGGAUAGUGCCACAGAAAUGGACCGCCGAUGGCCGACGCUUGCGUCGGAUCAGGCAAGGGUGGAACCGUGGUGUAAGAGACCACGAGCGGCGUUGGUGACAACGCGGCUGGUAAACCCCAUCUGGAGCAAGACCUAAGAGAACGCAGCAGCCUUUAUUGGCGGCAGCCCUAGCCCGGGGCGCGUUCGGGUUGGUCGCUUGAGCCUACUAGCAAUGGCAGGCCUAGAUAGAUGAUUGUCGCUUGACAGUGGGAGGGUCGUUCCCGUUUGCACCACGAAGAGCACAGAACCCGGCUUAUGGCAGACUUUCCGC
rfam:Paenibacillaceae bacterium GAS479 genome assembly, chromosome: I